CACAACGACUUUUCGAUAGCGGUUUCCGUCAUCGUCGGCAACACUGGGAAAAAAAGAAAAGGUUCACGGUGCUUACCUCGACGGUGGACGGUAACCUCCUCAACAAUGAUGGCAACCUCCUCAACGAAGAAGAAGAAGAAGUGCUCUGAGGUGAAAAAAAUGAAGCGCAAAGAAGAAGCAGCUGAUGACGACAUGAAGAAGAAGAGGCGCAAAGAAUGAAGUAGAAGCAGAAGCGGAAACGCGCGGGAGAGAGAGAAUCAAGGGUUAUUUUUUAAAAAAAUUACUAAGGGACAUUAUGACCUUUUCACAACUAUCAAAACCUAGCCGCACUCAAUUAUAAAUUGAUUUUUUAGUCACUGUAUCAUAUCGUUCGUCCAUCGACCGGUCC
rnacentral:lncRNA from 1 species